CCGGGACCCCCGCUCCCCGACGGCCCCCGCUCACCACCCGCAUCUGCAGGCGCCUCCAGCCGCGAUCCACUAUUCCUCCCCCUGGAAGGCAGGAGGUGCAGAGGAGGAGGAGGGCAGGCCUUGGCUUGUGUGUAGAAGUCAGAGGAUGAUGUUUCGUGCUGGAGAUAAAUGAAGCUCUCACCCUUCAAAAGCUUCUUCUUUCGGUAGAUGGAGACCACCACAGAGAGAUGCAGCUGAUCAAAAAGUAGAGAAUAAUGAAGUGAUUGUGAGAUGACUAUCCCCAGAUAGUAUAUCUACAAUAAAAACUCUGUACACCUAAGACUAUCAGGACAUAGAAGCAACACACAUGUAAGAGCCAGAAUAUCCUCUGUGAGGCAUGACAAGGAAAUUACAGCCAUGAAACCUCAACUUUGUGGUCACAAACAAGAUCUUCACAGUGACAACAUUGUGAAUUGGCAUGUCAAAAUGUAUAGAGGAAAUCUCACAAGACCCCACCCCUAGAUGAAGAGCUGCAGGUAAUUAAUGGAUCCUGAGAGGGGAAUCGAUCUUUCUCAGGGGUUAGUCCUCAAUAUUUUAUCUAACCCCAUGUGGUCAACCUUAAAUACAUACACAUAUAAACAACACUGAAAAGACUUUUCAGGCUGUUAUUUAUAUCCACAUAUGUAUGUGUAUGUAUGUUUUUCUAGGACACAUCACAAUAAGGAAAGAAUAAGUUAUGAGAUCAUGAGCUUGAGGGGAAAUGGUAAGGGAUGGACACAG